UAUUGCAAAAUGGGCGAAAGCCCGAUGCAGCAACGCCGCGUGGGCGAUGAAGGCCUUCGGGUCGUAAAGCCCUUUUUGAGGGGAUGAGGAAGGACAGUACCCUCAGAAUAAGCCUCGGCUAACUACGUGCCAGCAGCCGCGGUAAUACGGAGGGUGCGAGCGUUAUCCGGAUUUCCUGUGGUUAAAGGGUGCGUAGGUGGGCUUAUAAGUCAGUGGUGAAAUCUCCGAGCUUAACUUGGAAACUGCCGUUGAUACUAUAGGUCUUGAAUUAUCUGGAGGUAAGCGGAAUAUGUCAUGUAGCGGUGAAAUGCUUAGAUAUGACAUAGAACACCAAUUGCGAAGGCAGCUUACUACAUAUAAAUUGACGCUGAGGCACGAAAGCGUGGGGAUCAAACA
rnacentral:rRNA from 1 species